AAUAUUGGGCAAAGGAGGGGAAGUAUGCCCCAGCCAUGCCGCGAGAAAAGCAGACUCCCCUAUAGGUUGUAAAUGCUUUUAUACAGGAAGAAACAACUUUACGUGUAGAACUUGGCGGUACCUAAGAUAAGCCUCAGUUAACUCCGGGCCAGCAGCCGCGGUAAUGGGGGGGAUCCAAGGAUUUCCGAAAUCAUUGGGAUUAAAGGGUCAGUAGGUGGAUAAUUAAGUCAAAGGUGAAAUCCUGCAGCUCAACGGUAGAUUGCCUAAAAUAGUAGUUAUCUUUAUUAUUAUGAGGUAGUUAGUACUGUAGUUAGCGGUAAAAUGAGUAUUUUACAUAGAAUCCCAAUUGCGAAGGCCGAUUCAUAAUAAUCAACUGACACUGGGGAGAAAUCGUGGGGAACGAACAGGAUAAGAUACCGUGGAGUCACCGCCCA
rnacentral:rRNA from 1 species